rnacentral:rRNA from 1 species
GACGAACGCUGGCGGCGUGCUUAACACAUGCAAGUCGAACGAUGAAAGUGGAGCUUGCUCCGCUGGCUUAGUGGCGAACGGGUGAGUAACACGUGGGCAACCUGCCCCAGACUCUGGGAUAACUCCUCGAAAGAGGUGCUAAUACCGGAUACGAACUCCUUGGGCAUCCUUGGAGUUGGAAAGUUUUUCGGCCUGGGAUGGGCCCGCGGACUAUCAGCUUGUUGGUGGGGUAGUGGCGCACCAAGGCGACGACGGAUAGCCGGCCUGGGAGGGCGACCGGCCACACUGGACCUGAGACACGGCCCAGACUCCUACGGGAGGCAGCAGUGGGGAAUAUUGCGCAAUGGGCGAAAGCCUGACGCAGCGACGCCGCGUGAGGGAUGACGGCCUUCGGGCUGUAAACCUCUUUCAGCAGGGAAGAAGCGAAAGUGACGGUACCUGCAGAAGAAGCACCGGCUAACUACGUGCCAGCAGCCGCAGUAA